AGAGAGACAAACCCUGAAUUUUCGUGUCCAACUUUGACUGUCCGUCUUAUAUAAAAUUUUUUUAUAAUUCGUAUUUUUAUUGUUGUUAGAUGAUAAAACAUGAUUAAUAUUUUAUGCGUGACUUGUCUUUUUAAUUUUUUUUAAUAAUUUUUUUAAAUAAGACGGACGAUCAAAUGUUGGGCACGGAAACCAGGGUUUGUCUUUUU
rnacentral:pre_miRNA from 1 species